GGACGAACGCUGGCGGCGUGCCUAACACAUGCAAGUCGAGCGAGAAGUCAGUAACGGAUUUCUUCGGAAUGAAGUAACUGAGGUUAGUGGCAAACGGGUGAGUAACGCGUAGGCAACCUGCCCUUCAGAUGGGGACAACACCUCGAAAGGGGUGCUAAUACCGAAUGACGUUUCCUGGUCGCAUGACCUGGAAACCAAAGGCCGGGCAACCGGUCACUGAAGGAUGGGCCUGCGUCUGAUUAGCUAGUUGGUGGGGUAACGGCCCACCAAGGCGACGAUCAGUAGCCGGUCUGAGAGGAUGAACGGCCACAUUGGGACUGAGAUACGGCCCAGACUCCUACGGGAGGCAGCAGUGGGGAAUAUUGGGCAAUGGGGGAAACCCUGACCCAGCAACGCCGCGUGAAGGAAGAAGGCCUUCGGGUUGUAAACUUCUUUUACCAGGGACGAAGAACGUGACGGUACCUGGAGAAAAAGCAACGGCUAACUACGUG
rnacentral:rRNA from 1 species